AGAUGUGGUUAAGUCCGCACGAGCGCAACCCUCGACCUUAGUUGCCAGCAUUCAGUUGGGCACUCUAAGGUGACUGCCGGCUAAAAGUCGGAGGAAGGUGGGGAGUGACGUCAAAUCAUCAUGCCCCUUAUGACCUGGGCUACACACGUGCUACAAUGGGCGGUACAAAGGGUCGCGAACCCGCGAGGGGGAGCCAAUCCCAAAAAGCCGCUCUCAGUUCGGAUUGCAGGCUGCAACUCGCCUGCAUGAAGCCGGAAUCGCUAGUAAUCGCGGAUCAGCAUGCCGCGGUGAAUACGUUCCCGGGCCUU
rnacentral:rRNA from 1 species